GAUUGACUGUCAUCGCAUUUAAAUUUUAAGUGUCGAAAUAUUGAAUAGUAAUAGUUUUAUUGUUGACGGUUAUAUUUUUUCACAAAUGCGGCAAAAUUAAGUGUGAAAACACUUGAAUAAAAAAAUCCACAUCGAUUUGAAGAAAAAUGGCUGUGCCACAUGCUGAGCUCGUUAGUUUAGGAUUUCCACCAUAUAUUUUGGAUUUUUGGGUGGUCACUACAUAGAUGGAGAUGUAAACAAGAUCGUUGAAUUCUUGCAAAAUAAAGGAUUUGUUUUUGUUGAAGAAGUGGAAGAUAAAAUUUCUUCAACGUUUGCGUUAAAAAAAUGAUGAAAGCGUGCUAGCGGCACUUCGGCAUCCAGGACGAAAAUCUGCAGGAAAAUAUUUUCCACAGUGGACCAAUUGGAUCGAUGCAGAAACCUGAAACAUCUACCUCGCCUUCCCAGUUUGACGAAAUAGUUUCUCAGAGUGAAGGAAGCUUGAUAUCGGACAUUCAGUUUCCAACUGACAAACGGCAGGGAAGCAGGAUCAGCUCAAAAUGUUGAGGCAUCUACAUCGUCUUCCCCGUUUGAUGAAGUAGUUCCACAGAGUGAGGAAGGUGUGCUAGCGGAAGAUACUCAGCUUCAAGCUGUCAAAAUUGAACAGGAAGUUAGCUACGGAAGUAGAGAAAAAGGCUCGGUCCAAUAUAUUCAGACGUCUACUUCGUCUUCCUCGCUUAAUGAAAUAGUUCCACAGAAUCUACUGCCUUCAUCGCAGUUGCGGCAACUGGAGCAAGUUCCACAAACGAAAACAACAGCUUUUGGUGAUUGAUAAGAAUUUUCCAUUCAUUGAAGGAAGGAAAGGAGAGCAGGAAGUGGUAUCCCAAACUAACAUAAGUCGGCUGUUUUAAACCACGACGAUGUUUUUUCUACGCUGAGCCCAAACAUUCGGCCAGAGUCUAGUAACAACCAACCGGAGAAAUACUAUUGCGACUUCGGGAAAGAAAACGAUGCGGAUUCUGUUGUUGAACUGACCCCCGAUUUAUUGCGCAAAAAACUUGAGGAAUCAUUAACAGGCAAGGAAAUUUUGAAGCUGUCGAAGGCGGGACCAUUAUCAGAACGACGACAGCUCGAGUUAGCUGGAAUAAUAGCGAAAUGGUACAUUGAAAAGAAAACGAAACUAAUUGAAGGUGACUUGAAAAAGUACUCGCGUGCAAUAGUAACUUUGUUCAAGGUAAUUAAAACAAUCAACCCAAUCUGAAUACAAAUUUUGACAGCCCACCCAUAAUGGUUCAUACAAUACUGGAUCGUUUAUAUUAUAGAAGAAGACUGAAUUUUGUAAAAGAUUGCUUUUUGUAAA